UGUCCCUACGGGGGGCAGCAGUGGGGAAUAUUGCACAAUGGGCGAAAGCCUGAUGCAGCAACGCCGCGUGAAGGGAGAAGGGUUUCGGCUCGUAAACUUCUAUCAACAGGGACGAAAGAAAUGACGGUACCUGAAUAAGAAGGCCCGGCUAACUACGUGCCAGCAGCCGCGGGAAUACGUAGGGGGCAAGCGUUAUCCGGAAUUACUGGGUGUAAAGGGUGAGUAGGCGGCAUGGUAAGCAAGAUGUGAAAGCCUUGGGCUUAACCCGAUGAUUGCAUUUGGAACUAUCAAGCU
rnacentral:rRNA from 1 species